GGAGGAGCAAGAUGGAAUCACAAACUCAGGCCCUCAUAUCCCUGCUGCUCUGGGUAUAUGGUACCUGUGGGGACAUUGUGAUGACCCAGUCUCCAUCCUCCCUGGCUGUGUCAGAAGGAGAGAUGGUCACUAUAAACUGCAAGUCCAGUCAGAGUCUUUUAUCCAGUGGAAACCAAAAGAACUACUUGGCCUGGUACCAGCAGAAACCAGGGCAGUCUCCUAAACUACUGAUCUACUAUGCAUCCACUAGGCAAUCAGGGGUCCCUGAUCGCUUCAUAGGCAGUGGAUCUGGGACAGACUUCACUCUGACCAUCAGCGGUGUGCAGGCUGAAGACCUGGCAGAUUAUUACUGCCUGCAGCAUUACAGCUAUCCUCCCACAAUGCCUCAAGGGACAUUUAUAGAUUUGGAGCAAAGAUACUCAGUAAAUUCUUCUUCAAAUCAUGAGGAAACCAUACCACUUAACUCUUAA